UACGUAGGGGGCAAGCGUUGUCCGGAUUUAUUGGGCGUAAAGAGCGUGUAGGCGGCUUGGUAGGUCCGCUGUGAAAACUCGAGGCUCAACCUCGAGACGUCGGUUGAAACCGCAUGGCUAGAGUCCGGAAGAGGAGAGUGGAAUUCCCGGUGUAGCGGUGAAAUGCGCAGAUAUCGGGAAGAACACCUAUGGCGAAGGCGGCUCUCUGGGACGGUACUGACGCUGAGACGCGAAAGCGUGGGGAGCGAACAGG
rnacentral:rRNA from 1 species